rnacentral:rRNA from 1 species
UACAGAGGUCCCGAGCGUUGUUCGGAUUCACUGGGCGUAAAGGGUGCGUAGGUGGUGGGGUAAGUCGGAUGUGAAAUCUCGGAGCUCAACUCCGAAAUGGCAUUGGAAACUACCCUGCUGGAGGUUUGGAGGGGGGACUGGAAUUCUCGGUGUAGCAGUGAAAUGCGUAGAUAUCGAGAGGAACACCAGUGGCGAAGGCGGCAUCCUGGACCGGUAUUGACGCUGAGGCGCGAAAGCUAGGGGAGCAAACGGG